rnacentral:rRNA from 1 species
AGAGUUUGAUCAUGGCUCAGAACGAACGUUGGCGGCGUGCUUAACACAUGCAAGUCGAACGAGAAAGUUUUCUUCGGAGAACGAGUAAAGUGGCGCACGGGUGAGUAACGCGUAAGUAAUCUACCCUUGCAUCUGGAAUAACUACGGGAAGCUGUAGCUAAUACCGGAUACGUUCAUAGAGUUACGACUCUAUGAAGAAAGAUGACCUCUUCUUGAAAGUUAUCGUGCAGGGAGGAGCUUGCGUACCAUUAGCUAGUUGGUAGGGUAAAGGCCUACCAAGGCAACGAUGGUUAGCGGGUCUGAGAGGAUGAUCCGCCACACUGGAACUGGAACACGGACCAGACUCCUACGGGAGGCAGCAGUGAGGAAUAUUGCGCAAUGGGGGCAACCCUGACGCAGCGACGCCGCGUGGAUGAUGAAGGCCUUCGGGUCGUAAAAUCCUGUCAGAUGGGAAGAAAUGUAUAUAGGAAUAAUACCCUAUGUGCUUGACGGUACCAUCAAAG